rnacentral:rRNA from 1 species
GACAGAGGGGGCAAGCGUUGCUCGGAAUUACUGGGCGUAAAGGGCGCGUAGGCGGGAUGGCAAGUCGGUCGUGAAAUCCCUCGGCUCAACCGAGGAACGUCGAUCGAUACUGCUGUUCUUGAGGAUUGCAGAGGAGACUGGAAUUCCCGGUGUAGCGGUGAAAUGUGUAGAGAUCCGGAGGAACACCAGUGGCGAAGGCGACACGCUGGGCCGUACCUGACGCUACAGCGCGUCAGCAUGGGGAGCAAACGGG